rnacentral:rRNA from 1 species
UAGGGAAUCUUCCGCAAUGGACGCAAGUCUGCCGGAGCAACGCCGCGUGCGUGAAGAAGGAUUUCGGUUCGUAAAACUCUGUUGUUAGAGAAGAACAGCGCAUAGAGUAACUGUUAUGCGUGUGACGGUAUCUAACCAGAAAGCCACGGCUAACUACGUGCCAGCAGCCGCGGUAAUACGUAGGUGGCAAGCGUUGUCCGGAUUUAUUGGGCGUAAAGCGAGCGCAGGCGGUCAAUUAAGUCUGAUGUGAAAGCCCCCGGCUCAACCGGGGAGGGGCUUUGGAAACUGUAUAACUUGAGUGCAGAAGGGGAGAGUGGAAUUCCAUGUGUAGCGGUGAAAUGCGUAGAUAUAUGGAGGAACACCGGUGGCGAAAGCGGCUCUCUGGUCUGUAACUGACGCAGAGGCUCGAAAGCGUGGGGAGCGAACAGG